AGAAUGUUAACUAGGUCAAUCACACAGGCUCAGUGUGUGCGUGGCAUAUUUUAAGGGAGAGAGAGGAAUGCCCUCCUAACUCACGACAGACCUGUCCCAAAGUAGCCUCUCUGUUCCUAGCAGAACGGCUUCU
rnacentral:snoRNA from 1 species